rnacentral:lncRNA from 1 species
UGGAAUAUUGAGAUAUAUGACUUAACACUUAGAAAAAAUUUCAACAUGUUGAAAUUUCCAAACUUCCACCUCAAAAUUCACCAUGAUCCAAGUUGUUCCCCUUGAUCUAAGAUUUCCAAAUAACCCUAUUUCAUGCAUUUUGGAUGACGUUUGCUAGGGUUGCGCAUGGUCUUAACAGGUCUGCAUCAUUGGAGAAAAUCAAAUGUCCAAAACUCCAUUUCACUUUGCCUUGCCAUUCAAGCA